rnacentral:lncRNA from 1 species
AUAGUGUAGACAAAUUGUGAAUUGUGCACGCUAAAAUGAAUGAUUUAACUUGUGUAAUACAUAUACACGACGACAUACAAUAGAUCAGUAGAAACUUAAACAAAAAUUGUAUACUUACCAAAUUUUAUAAAAUAAGUUAAAUCCUGUUUAUAUAAGAAUAUUUAGACACAAUCGAUAAUGCGAUAACGCACAUGCUUGCUGAACCAACACUAUGCCCAAUUACUUUCAAUGGAACACGGAUCAUUUGAUAAAAUCGAUAACGGAAAAAAUUCCG